UACGUAGGAGGCAAGCGUUGUCCGGAAUUACGUGGGCGUAAAGCGCGUGUAGGUGGUGGGACAAGUCUGCUGUGAAAGCGCCUGGCUUAACCGGGCGAAGGUCGGCGGAAACUGUCGCACUCGAGGACGGUAGAGGGGGUGGAAUUCCCGGUGUAGUGGUGAAAUGCGUAGAGAUCGGGAGGAACACCUGUGGCGAAGGCGGCAUCCUGGACCAACACUGACACUGAUGAGCGAAAGCCAGGGGAGCAAACGGGAUUAGAAAGCCCU
rnacentral:rRNA from 1 species